AUUGAACGCUGGCGGCAGGCCUAACACAUGCAAGUCGAGCGGAUGAAGGGAGCUUGCUCCUGGAUUCAGCGGCGGACGGGUGAGUAAUGCCUAGGAAUCUGCCUGGUAUUGGGGGAUAACGUCCGGAAACGGGCGCUAAUACCGCAUACGUCCUGAUGGUGAAAGUGGGGGAUCUUCGGACCUUACGCUAUCAGAUGAGCCUAGGUCGGGUUAGCUAGUUGGUGGGGUAAAGGCCUACCAAGGCGACGAUCCGUAACUGGUCUGAGAGGAUGAUCAGUCACACUGGAACUGAGACACGGUCCAGACUCCUACGGGAGGCAGCAGUGGGGAAUAUUGGACAAUGGGCGAAAGCCUGAUCCAGCCAUGCCGCGUGUGUGAAGAAGGUCUUCGGAUUGUAAAGCACUUUAAGUUGGGAGGAAGGGCAGUAAGUUAAUACCUUGCUGUUUUGACGUUACCAACAGAAUAAGCACCGGCUAACUUCGUG
rnacentral:rRNA from 1 species